rnacentral:lncRNA from 1 species
CGGUGUAUGCGUAAAUUGCGAAUUGCUGAAAGGCUAAAUUAUGUUUUAAUUCUUUCUGUUUUAAUAUAAAAAGAAGAUAAUCCUUUUAAUUAUAACAAUAAAUUUGUUUCUAAUGGCUGACAUUAUGAAAGCAAGUUAUUUAUAAUCGGGAUUAGUAACGAAAUUCAUUGCCCUAAAUGUACUUGAGAGUUAGCCUGUAUCUGCUGGUACAUCUUCAAAAAUGACACUCAUGACUCUGAUUCUUGCAAGCAGUGGCAACCCAAAAGUUCUCCGUAUUCUACAAAAUUGGAGAUUUAUAUGAGGGAAACGUUUUCAGCCUGACUCAAAGAUGGCACUCCAAUGAGCAAAAAUUUAUGUUUCCUGUGUGGGUGCACGUAUCAUUAAUUCGUUUGACCAGUUUCAACUUGUUCUCUGAAGCAGUUUGUUUACACGAAUUUUUGCAGUAAAUGUCUUACGUGUUAUUCAUUAAAAUGGAUAAACUUGAAUAUCAUGUAGUCAUAAAAUUCUUCGUUUUUGGAUGAAUGAAACCCCAACUUUCGAAAUUGAUAAAUGUUUAUGAGGACUCUGCUCCUUCCAUGCCAACCAUUAAAAAGUGGACAGAUGAAUUUAAACUUGCUAGCACAUGCCUCGAAGAUGACUUGUGUGAAGGAUGGCCAAAAACUUUAACCACACCCUAAACCAUUAGAAAAGUGCAUAUCAUGUUGGAUGAUAGGCGAGUGAUAUAGCUGAAUCUGAGGGGAUAUUGGAAGAAAGGGUGCGAAACAUAUUGCUCAAAGAAUUAGGGAUGCAAAAUCUCUGCGCAAGAUGGGUGUCGCAUUUGCUGAAUGCCGAUCAAAAGCAAAUGCACAAACGAUUUUUGCAGCAAUCUUUGGACUGAUUCAACAGCGAUCUGACUGAUUUUGUGCAGCUAUUUGUCACCAUGGAUAAGACAUGGGUCCAUCACAUGCCAGAAACGAAACAGCAGUCCAAGCAAUAGGUUGAGGCCGGUGGUUCAGCGCCAGAGAAAGCGAAGUCGAUCCUAUCUACUGGAAAAGUGAUGGCCAGUGUGUUUUGGGAUGCGAAAGGGAUCCUGUUAAUUGAUUACCUUACAAAAAAAAAAAAAAAAAAAAAAAAAAAAAAAGAGGCAGAACAAUUACAGGCGAACAUUAUUCCAAUCUUCUUGACCAGCUGGAUGCCAAAAUUCGCAAGAAAAGGCCUGACCUGAAGAAGAAAAAUAAUUUUUCACCAGGACAAAGCACUUGCGCAGAAGGGAGUGCUGGUGAUGGGAAAACUGUGGGAUAUGGGGUACGAUUUGCAUGGCCAUCCUCCCUAUUCUCCUGACUUAACACCCUCAGACUUCCAUCUGUUCCCAAACUUGAAGAACUUUGUUUCUGGGAAGCACUUUACAUCCAAUGAUAUUUUCACAACGUUCCAGACUCUCACUUUGGAGAAGGAAUACUUAUGUUGGAGAAAUGCUGGACUUUGUGUUGAAGUCAAGGGAGAUUAUAUAGAAAAAUAAAAUCAUUUCAUUGUCAGUCCAAGAACUUUUCGCCUUACUCUCAUAUAUUUCUUUUCUUUUUUUAAUUAAUGUCAUCUCUCUCUCUUUUGGAGAGGUUUCUUUUCUUUUUUUUUUUAAUUUCAUUGUCAUCUUCGAUCCUGAGACUGGCAUCCGACAUGUAUAAGAAUCGACAAAAUAGAGGAAGAAGUAGCAGUGUGGUACAGCCUAUCCUCAGUUGUGUUCUUAUUAAUCCAAGUUCAUCUCUAAUUCAUGAGCGGUAAAGUUGCUAAACACUGGUAGUUUGACCUGGCUUCAGUUCUAGAUUAAUGGGCUGGCUAUAUGGGCAUUUUUGUAAUUUUUGUAGCAUCACACAUGGGGAAAACUAUGGAACUUUGUCCAGUUUCCCUUAAAAAGUCCUCCAUGAAACCCAUUUCCAACUCGUAUUUGAACACUUUGCUUGUAGUUUUUAACAUUGUAUUCCGACAAAAUUUUGUCUUUUAGGAAUUGCUAUUUCAUAGAAUGGUAAUUUUUGCAUUCUGGAUUGUUAGACAAAACAUUAUGUACCUGAAAAAUGUACAUGUGUGUGUCAGUUGUUAUUGCAUGCAUACCCAAAAAUAUGCUAAAAACAUGGCAGUUCUAGCAUGUUAAAAAACAUGAGGUGCAGAUAAUGAGAAAGUACAUUUAUAAUUAAUGAUAAUCUACUCUGAAUAUGAAGUAAGGCAGUUUGUUUUGGUUGAGUUAUUGUUUUAGAUAUUUUUUGUUCUAUUUUAUAUAUUAGUACAUCCACUAAAACAAAAGAAAUUUCUAGCAUAUUUUAAAAUUAGAUGAUGUUGGAAUACAGGAAAAUUGUGUUCUAUUUUUUAUGUAGUCUAAAUUAUACAUGAUAUGUAAGAAAUAUCAAUUCCAUAUUUUUAAGGAUCAGCUAAUAAGCAUAUUUUGUGUGAUUUCUAUCCAUCUUUAUAGGUGCAAGCUUUUGGAGGGCAAAAUCAGUCAGCAGCAGUAGUAAUUCUUUUCGUUCUGAAAAUUUGUGUCAAAGUAACUACAGUUUUGUGCCAUCAGUUCCGGCAAAGAAUUUAUGUCCCAGAAUGGAAUACUUCAGAUGUUUAAAAUGUUCAAGUAAAUUUAAAACAAAAAGGGGAUUAAAAGUUCACAUUUCAAUGUUACACAGAGGAAUUUUUGUUUUCCCAUAAAAUUUUUAAAAGGGUUUGCCCUUUAAUUCAGUUACCAAGGCACUGCAUUCAAGAAUAUAUAUUUUAUUACAUAUUUAUGCUUUGUUUUAUAUUUAUACUGUAUUUACCAGUGUAUUUCUCCUCCUGGCAUAUCGCAUAUUCUCCCCCCCCCCAAGUUUUUUUCAUAUCAUUUAGAAACUUCUGAUUUGUUGUAUCAAUAUGAUAGCUGCCAACUUUCCUCUGUAGAUCACUGAAUCUACCAUUUUUAACUUUUAUCCUUAACAAGUGAAAAUAUUUAUUAGCAGUAAAAUUAUGUCAUGCAAAUAUACUUUGCACAGUUCAGACUUCAUUAUUGAAUUAAUGAAACUUAAAUUGGCAAAUUUCAUUCCAUAAAUUUACUAGGAAAAGGGGUAAAUGAUGCAGGUAAAUACGGUAUUUAUGAUAAACCAAAUAAUAAAUUGAUGAAAACUGCCUAAUUCUUUGAAUAUAAUAAAUUGUUGUGUAAUAUAAAAAAUGUCCAAUAUAAAAAGUGUAAUUCUGAUUUAGAAAGUAUUUUGCAGAAAUGCACUAUUUUAAAAUAGUUAAUGCAUUUUAUUAAUUAUAUGUAGUUUUAUUUUGGAAUGUGAAUAUAGUAAUGUAUUGUGUUGUUAACAAAAGAUAUGUUUAUAGUCAAUUAUGAUGGUAUGGAGGUGAAGAGAUAUUUAUUUUUUAUUGAAAGAUUAAUCUUGCACACCUUAGUGACUGAUACUGUCACGUAAUGUUGUUGAAACUGCUCCAGUAUGCAGCUUCAGAAGUAUUUUGAGAAGCAUUGGAGCAUAAUUUAUGGAUAAAAAAUGGAUACUUAUUUGAAGGCAGAGUUUAAUGUUUACAAUGAAGUUUUGCUGUAAUUUAUUUUAUUUUAGUAGGAGCUAUUAAACAAAUCAUAAAUCAUCAGUUUUAAUUAAUUAAUUUAUUUUUUGCUUUAUGAAAAUUUAUACAAAAACAAUAAUAUAUUCCAGACAUGUCUUCUUGCUUUACUUUAUGCUUGAUUCUUUAGUCAUAGUAAAUAUUUUUUUCGAAAGCUGCUUAAGUGUUGUGGUGGUAUCAUAUUUGUAUGCAGUAUAAUUUCAUUCGUUUAUUUGCUAUUGCCUCUUGAUGUCCUGAUUUAUUCGAUGCUUGUAUGUGUAAGUCAUCUUAUUCUUGUGGAGAAAUAAUUUUCUUAUACAAUGUUUUCAGAUUAUGCAAUUUUUCGCAAAUUUGCUACUUUGACAAACUUCCGCUACUAAAAUUUAUGUCUGUGCAAUUUUGUUUACUUUUUGUUACAUUCAAAAUUUUAAUAUAUCAUAAAAUCUCCAUAUGUAAGUAUAAUUUAUCUAUUGAAAUUAAUUUAUGAUAAGAAGUAGUAAUUUAUUUAGAUUUAAAUAAAAGUUGGCAAGUGACAAUACUGUGAUUGUCGCCCAAGAGCACGAGUUUUCAGUGCUAGUUGCUGGUGUAUUUAUGUGCUUGAUUGACCACUUUGUUUAAUAUUUUGGUAAUCUGCGAGUAAGGUUUCAAUGUUCGAUUAUAGUUGUUAUAUUAAUUAAUGUAUGAAUUAUGAGCAAGGUGAAAAGAAUUUAGCACCAGUUUUCGAAAUGUGUAUCCAUGUUGAGAACUGGUUAGAAAGAAUGAAAAUUGAAGACAAAAGCAUACUGAAAGCUGAGUAAAUGGGCUAAGAGCAUGUAAAAAAGAUAAAUCAUCAACUGAAGAGAAUUAGUAGAAUGAUGUUAACAAUCCAAACAUGAGAAACACCUAGCAAUGGAUAUUAACAGACUUAAAAAAAAAAAAAAAACUGAGAAUUAAUUAAAAGAAGUAAUGAAAAAUUAAAGUAUGGUUUUAAGAUUUUCAUCAAAGCUGAUAUAAGAAUAAAACAACCAAGAACUGAAUUUCUGUCUGUAACUUAUGACACUCGGAGAUUGUGAUGACAUCAUAGGUCGUGUGACCUCACAAACCUAUAAUGUCAUAAAAAGUAACAUGAUCACUGAUGUCACAUGCUACUUUUCAUAAUACUUUGAAUCUUCUCUUAGCUCAAAAAUUGUUGCAACUUUGUUUAAAUAUAGAUAUACAAAAUGUGUAAUAUUCUUAAUUCGUAACCAACAAGCCAUUGUAUUAUAAAUGCCAUAAAAAAGUAAAACUGUUACUAAUUUUGUAGAUAAGUAUUUAAUUGUAAUGCCAGUGAUUCCAGAUAUUAAGAGAAAAUUCAGAAUCAUUGUUAAAGUAUGUCUAGUCUUGUUUUUUUUAAUUGUAUCUUCUUUGUUUAAGUUAAAGGAUAUAAUAAUUUGUAUAAUUUCAUCAUGCACAUUAGAGAAAAUGAUUAUUUCAAAUAUUGUCAUCUCCUGAUUAAGUGUUCUUUGUCCACACAUACAAAAAGGGGGUGGUGGUUUGUUUCACAGCAUGAUGGAAAAAUUAGCAAGCCGUCAGAAUAAACCAAAAUUUCUAUAGAAAAUACAAAAAGUAGAAAAAAAUUCCUGAAACAAUGAGUCAUUAAAUCUUUCCAGAUUUUUAAUUUUAACAAAUAUUUAGAAUUAAAUGAUUAGUAUUUGGGUAUUUACUGUAAAAUGUAUUAGUGACCAGGAUAUCUGAGAACAUAAAGAAACAUAAAUAUUGAAUAUCACCUCCCUAAGUCAAUCACUUCCACAUAGACCAAAACAAUAUGGAACAAAAUUGGUAUAACAUGGAGUAAGGUGCAAAGAUUCAUAGAACAUUAUCAUCCUGAUAAAGCAAUAGUAAGCUGUUAUGUAAAUAUUUGCUGUGAUGAUGCCAUGUCUUGGUCUAGGAACAUUUUAAAAUAUAACAGAAACAAAUCAUAGCGGACAAAUUUUGCGCUUCUGUGUUGCUUGAAAAGUACCAGCGUUCUAGACUGCGAAGCCGAUAAUGGGACACGCUCAGUUUCUGCCGAUGCGAAACUUUACGGUUACCAUUCCAUUUUAGGUAAAAGUAAAAUAAUGAGACAGCUGGUAAAAGAAUGAAUUUUAAUUUCAGACUACUUAAGCUCUGAAAGAUGUCAGAACAACACUCAAUUGGAAGAAUUACAACUUAUUGUAUAAGAGCAGAAAAGAGCACAAUAGUAUUCCUUGGGAUUUUUAAUCAGAGAAUAAGACAAGCAAAAAUGAUGCUCCUUGUCACUUUUGGGCGGAAAAACAGCAAAGACACUUGGCCCUCAAACGGUUAAGUAGAGGCAAACGAUGUUAAGGGAAAAGUGUGUGUGUGUGUGGGGGGGGGGAGAACCCUAGAGACAUAGCAGCUACCUCAUAUUUUUAUGGAAUAGGAUAAACAAUAACACUUCAACCUUUGGCUUCACUGUGUUUUACUUACACCGUCAACUUUCUUUUGUAGAGAUACAUUAAAAUUUCAUUCGUUUUCCUAAUUUUUGUUAAAUACUGCAUAUAUGGUAAUAUUGUAUAUGUGUUAUAUUUAAUGAAUUCCACAGGUCUUGCAUUAUGAACUUACUUUCAAAUUACUUUGUUCUUAAGCAGUCAUAUGGUGUCCAGGAACAAAUUCAUUUUACAUAAUUUCUUAUGGAAAAAAUUGUUUCAAUGAAUUAAGUUUGUGAACCAAGGUUACACUGUGUAAUGCUAAUUUUGACUUAAACUAAUAUGUAUGAUAAUUUUUGCUAGUAUAUAUGGAAAUGAAAGUUUUGAAAUUUUUAAGUAAAUGUUGUAUAACAUAUUCAUUUUAUAUGUUCUAAAUGUUAUGUAUGGUAAACUCAUAUAUGAUUUUAUUAUGCAAAAUUUACUUGAACCAAGAUAAUGAGGUGAAUUUUUUUACAAACUAACUUGUUAUAUACUUAGCAUUGCUUGAUACAAUAGAUAAUAUAAUUGUAAAAAACCUCAUUUUGAAUUUAGUUCUAUAUGUAAAGAAUUACCUUAGAAAGUGGGACAAGCUUUUUUGUUGAAAUUUGUAUAAAAUUUUAAUGUGCAGUAAAAUUUAAAUCUGUAAAAAAUGUUAAUAUUUGAUUUCUCCUGCAUUUUGAAUAUCUUAUGAAAUUCUAAUAGAGAGAAUAUAUUAUAUCCUUUUCACUGUAAAAUAUAGUAGAAUAUAUCAAGUUAUUUUAUUGUAUACAAUUAUAAACUGGUUGCAAUUUCAGAAAAGAACAUUAAAAUACAUUACAGAAUAUGUGAAAGAAUAAAUUACUUAAGUAGUGUUCUUUUAUAAAUCUUGAAUUAGAAUGUGCUAGAUAUGGAGGGAUUCACUGAUAGUCAAGCACCAUUUUCAUCUAUGCUAAUGGAUAAUUCUCAGAACAGAGGUGGUGCAUUUGCCUGCACUUUUUGUCCUUACAGCACAAAAUUUGCAACUACUUUAAAACGUCAUAUAAGUACUCACACUGGUGAGCGACCUUAUGGUUGCAUGAUCUGUGGAAAAAGAUUCAUACAGAGAAAUACUUUGCAACGCCAUUUUAAAUGCCAUUCCAUGUCUCAUGAUUAUGAAGUUUUGUAGCUUAAUUUUAUACAUAAAUACCGAUAAAAGAAUUAAUAAUUUUUGUUACAAAUUAUGAUAUUUUUGUUAUUUUAUCAAUUUGAGAGGUUGUGGUUGCAGAGAGCAAACAAGGUAAUAAAAUUAUCACUAUAUUCCCUCUUUACAAAUAUAAAUGGCAGCAGACUAAUUCUGUUUUUCACUUUCAGAAAAAAAAGAAUGUUGUUUUCAUGUGUUAAUAUUUUUUUAUUUAUGUUAAUUAUAAUUGAGAUUGCUCCCAAUUUCUGUUUUAUUCACAUGUAAACUUGCAAAGAAAAGAUUGCUAUUAAAGGUUUAAUAUAUAGUUUUU